rnacentral:rRNA from 1 species
UACGUAGGGUGCAAGCGUUGUCCGGAAUUAUUGGGCGUAAAGAGCUCGUAGGCGGCUUGUCGCGUCGACUGUGAAAUCCCGCGGCUCAACUGCGGGUCUGCAGUCGAUACGGGCAGGCUAGAGUUCGGUAGGGGAGACUGGAAUUCCUGGUGUAGCGGUGAAAUGCGCAGAUAUCAGGAGGAACACCGAUGGCGAAGGCAGGUCUCUGGG